AUCAAGUUUAGGUCAGCACAUUCAUAUGUCUGAUCUUUUUUAUCGGCAUGGGUGAACUCGAGUCAACAAGUAACCUAGUAUGAAAUUGAAUCUCCCAAAAUGGAUAGGUAAGUUAAGAUGAGUAGGGAUCCCCCCAUUGCUUUCCUCAGACACCAACAAAUUGGUCAGGUCAGACAAUAGAAUCAACUAAAUAACCAUCAUUUAGAUACUUGCCUUAGACACGAAAUUGGUCGAUUAGAAUUAAUCAAGUUAACCUAUUGAAACGAGUCUGAACCAUUGAGCUAAAUUAGAUCUUGAGUUAAUCAAUCACAUCAAAAUAUGAAUCGAUGCGACCAACUAUAACUAAAAAUAACUUUGAGCCCUUUUGACCUAAUCCUAACUAACAAUUGAUUAGGUUCAUUCAACUGCUCAAAAUCGAUAAUGGGUUCUAGUCUGAUCGAAUCAAUUGAUCCUAAUCGUAGUUUGAUCACUAGAUCUAAUUUGUUCAACCCAUACCCACAUGCAAUAACAUAAUUUUUAAAUUCUAAAAAUAUUUUUUAAAUUUAUUUCAUUGCAUGCAUUAGUAGCUUAUGAUCUUGAAAUAAUUUUAAAUCUAAACCUAAUGUUAUAUAUCACAUAUAUCAAGUUUUAGAUCUAAAC
rnacentral:lncRNA from 1 species